ensembl:lincRNA
GUUUUCUGGCUUGGAAAGGUUGAAGGAGCAAUGACAGGUGUCCUGGGGCUCGAAUGACUGGCCGAGGCGGCAGAAGCUGGCCCGGUCGCUGUAGACUCUUGGACGCAGUAGCAGCGCUCACUCAGCCUCUUCUGCCUCCCCCACGUCCACAUAGAGAGAAAUCCAACCCUUGGCUGAGGCCUGAAAGAAGACCUGCAUUCACGCCACGGAGGGGAGUGCUGCUCAGCUGUCAAAAGAACAAGCCCAGCAGAGGCAGGGUCAGAAGGUCCUUUCCUCUCCCUCCACCCUUUUGUUUCCAUUUCCUCUCCUCUUCUCCCCCUCCUUCCUCCAUGCCUUCUGUUUGUCUGUUUAUUUGUUUAUCUUUUGCUCUGUGUGUUUUGAGACAGGCUCUCCCUUUGUAGCCUAUGCACACCUGGAACUCCCUGUGUAGUCCAUGGAAACGCUUCUGAUUCGACCUCCUAAAUUCUUGGGAAGAUGGACUGUUGGGGUGGGCACUUGCUGCUAAGCCUGAAGACCUGAAUUCACUCUCUGGAACUCACGUGGUAGGAGAGAGAGAACCAACUCCUGAAAGUUGUCCUCUGACCGCCACAUGUAAUGGGGACACAGGCAACUUGCCUAGUAGGCCUAUGUAUACAGUUGAGUGUUUGGACCAAUCAUGGCCAUUUGUUUGGGCCAAACCCACGUCUUGCCAUUUUUUUUUUUUUUUUUUUGGAGACAGGGUUUCUCUGUGUAGCCCUGGCUGUCCUGGAACUCAUUUUGUAGACCAGGCUGGUCUGCCUCUGCAUUCCGAGUGCUGGGAUUAAAGGCGUGUGCCACUACACCGGGCUCCAUCUUGCCUCUUGGCAUCAUGAAAUUCCUCUAGUAAGCCACCAGGGGGAGUGUUCCACCCCUGUCGCAGGUGGAAAUGGUUGUAGGGUCAUCUAGAGAUCAUCAAGGCUUGGUAUAGUGAAAAUUCUGAUACCUCCGGGAGCUUAGGCUAUUGGCUGCAGUCUUUGUGUAGUUACCUCUGUCAGUGUUCUAGAUUGCUGAUUCUGGCACAGGAUGAUCUGAUGGCUGUGAGAUUUUUGCUCCAGGGAGUCAGGGAGAGCUGAUGUAGUCAUGCAAACUGUCCCAAGCCUAAUGUCUUUGCUAAGUAACAGGAAAAUGGUCACUGGUAGGAGUGUUCACAUAUACACACAUAGAACUUAUUAACAAUAAGAGUGAUUUUAAAAAAUGAUUUACGUAUUUAUGUUAUAUAUCUAUGAGCACACCAUUGCUGUCUUCAGACACACCAGAAGCGGGCAUCACAUCCAAUGGUUGUGAGCCACCAUGUGGUUGCUGGGAAUUGAACUCAUGACCCCAGUUAAGUGCUCUUAACUGCUGAGUUCUCUCUCCAGCCCACUAAGGAUGAUUUUUAAAACAGAUUGAAGAGAGUUCACCACCUGCUCAAUGCCUCAGAGAGUGCUGAGUGCUCCUUAUACGUGCCAGUAGGAAAUCAUCAAGACCUAUAGAAUAGCCGGGCGUGGUGGCGCAUGCCUUUAAUCCCAGCACUUGGAGGCAGAGGCAGGCGGAUUUCUGAGUUCGAGGCCAGCCUGGUCUACAGAGUUCCAGGACAGCCAGAGCUAUUCAGAGAAACUCUGUCUUG